rnacentral:rRNA from 1 species
GGUUCGAUCAUGGCCCAGAUUGAUAACCGCCGGCGGGAUGCUUUACACAUGCAAGCCGAAUGGCAGCACGACUUCGGUCUGUGGGCGAGUGGCGAACGGGUGAGUAAUGUGAUCGGAACGUGCCUGCAACGGGGAUACCCACGCGAAAGCAGCUAAUACCGGCCGCCGCCCUUCGGGGGAAAGCGGGGACCUUCGGCCUCGCACCAGGGAGCGGCCGGAUAUCGGAUUAGCUGAAGCAGGGUAACGGCUCACCAAGGGCGACGAUCCGUAGCUGGUUUGAGAGACGACCGGCCACACUGGGACUGGAGAUUAUCGGCCCAGACUUUCGCUGGGGAGGCAGCAGUGGGAAUUUUGGACAAUGGGAAACCCCGAUCCAGCCAUCCUGGCGUGUGCGAUGAAGGCCUUCGGGUUGUAAAGCACUUUUGGCAGGAAAGAAACGGCACGGCACAAUACCCUGCACUGACGGUACCGCAGAAUAAGCACCGCCAACUACGUGCCAGCAGCCGCGGUAAUACGUAGGGUGCAAGCGUUAAUCGGAAUUACUGGGGCGUAAAGCGCAGGCGGCCUGGAAAGAAAGAUGUGAAAUCCCAGAGCUACUUAACUUUGAACUGCAUUUUGAACUACCGAGCUAGAGUGUCAGAGGGAGGUGGAAUUCCGCGUAGCAGUGAAAUGCGUAGAUAUGCGAGGAACACCGAUGGCGAAGGCAGCCUCCUGGGAUAACACUGACGCUCAUGCACGAAAGCGUGGGGAGCAAACAGGAUUAGAUAAUCCCUGGUAGUCCACGCCCUAAACGAUGUCAACUAGCUGUUGGGGCUCUGGCCUGGUAGCGCAGCUAACGCGUGAAGUUUAUCCGCCCAGUACGGGUCGCAAGAUUAAAACUCAAAGGAAUUGACGGGGACCCGCACAAGCGGUGGAUGAUGCGGAUUAAUUCGAUGCAACGCGAAAAACUCCACUACCCUUUGACAUGUCUGGAAUCCCGAAGAGAUUUGGGAGUGCCUGCAAGAGAACCGGAACACAGGUGCUGCAUGGCUGUCAGCUCGUCGAGAUGCUGGGUUAAGUCCCGCAACGAGCGCAACCCUUGUCAUUAGUUGCUACGAAAGGGCACUUAAUGGGACUGCCGGUGACAAACCGAGGAAGGUGAUGACGUCAAGUCCUCAUGGCCCUUAUGGGUAGGGCUUCACACGUCAUACAAUGGUCGGGACAGAGGGUCGCCAACCCGCGAGGGGGAGCCAAUCCCAGAAACCCGAUCGAACCGGAUCGCAGUCUGCAACCUGACUGCGGAAGUCGAAUCGCUAGUAAUCGCGGAUCAGCAUGUCGCGGUGAAUAUUCCCGGUCUUGUACACCGCCCGUCACACCAUGGGAGUGGGUUUUACCAGGCAGUUAAUGCAACUGUAAGGAGGGCGAUUACCAGGUAGGAUUCAUGACUGGGGUGAAGUCGUGUCGCGUAA